rnacentral:rRNA from 1 species
GACGAACGCUGGCGGCGUGCUUAACACAUGCAAGUCGAACGAAGAGCGAUGGACGCUUGCUUCUAUCAAUCUUAGUGGCGAACGGGUGAGUAACGCGUAAUCAACCUGCCCUUCAGAGGGGGACAACAGUUGGAAACGACUUCUAAUACCCCAUACGCUCUAACCUCGGCAUCGCGGACAGAUGAAAGGUGGCCUCUACAUGUAAGCUAUCACUGAAGGGGGGGAUUGCGUCUGAUUAGCUAGUUGGAGGGGUAACGGCCCACCAAGGCGGUGAUCAAGAGGCUGUCGGGGAGGAAGAACGGGCCCAAUGGGAAUGAGAAUAGGCCCAGGACUCUAAGGGGAGGAGCAGUGGGGGAUCUUUCGACAUGGAGGGAAGGCUGAAGGAACAACGCCGGGGGGGGGAUGACGGGCUUCGGGUUGGAAAGCUCUGUUAAUCGGGAAGGAAGGCCUUCGUGCGAAUAGUUAGAAGGAUUGACGGUACCGGAAGAGAAAGCCACGGCUAACUACGUG